rnacentral:rRNA from 1 species
UACGUAGGAGGCAAGCGUUGUCCGGAAUCACUGGGUGUAAAGGGUGCGCAGGCGGGGAAGUAAGUCAGCGGUGAAAUCUCACGGCUUAACCGUGAAACUGCCGCUGAUACUGCUUCUCUUGAGUUCGGGAGAGGGUGGUGGAAUUCCUGGUGUAGCGGUGAAAUGCGUAGAUAUCAGGAAGAACACCAGUGGCGAAGGCGGCCACCUGGCCCGUAACUGACGCUCAUGCACGAAAGCGUGGGGAUCAAACAGG